rnacentral:lncRNA from 1 species
AACACUCAGUACUUUUACCACGUGGGGAGGCAGCAACUUUAAAUUCAAGUACACAUCACCAUGUCUGCUGUUGCCAGCAUAGCUGAUGAAGAAGCGUAGUGUGAUUUCUGACAACAUCCAAGUAAAAUAACAAUGAUUUCAGAGCUGGGCUAGAAAACUCCCUUCAAAAUCAAGUGCAGCAGAGGACUUUCUGCAAGAAUUUUCCCUCUUCUUUCCAUCUGUGAAAGCAUUCCCAAAGACGACAUGAAUAUUCACGAGGGCUGACUACCAUCAAGCAAGCUGGGCUGCAGC